CUUAGUGGCGGACGGGUGAGUAACGCGUGGGGAACCUGCCCUGUACCGGGGGAUAGCAGCCGGAAACGGCUGAUAAUACCGCAUAAGCGCACGAAUGUCGCAUGACAUGGUGUGAAAAACUCCGGUGGUAUAGGAUGGACCCGCGUCUGAUUAGCCGGUUGGUGGGGUAAAAGCCUACCAAAGCGAAGAUCAGUAGCCGAGUUGAGAGACUGACCGGCCACAUUGGGACUGAGACACGGCCCAGACUCCUACGGGAGGCAGCAGAA
rnacentral:rRNA from 1 species